AAUUCUCAACUAUACAAGUUUUUAUUAACCUGUAUGGCUUGGAUCAUGGGAUUUGCGGGCUUCAUGAGUCAGCUAUCCUUAAAUGCAUUAGCAGAGCUUUUGCCGCUAAUCUCUGGUGUGAUAAUUAUCUACGCCAUUGAGAAGUGACAUAUUGAGGCUUCGCUUCUAAUCGUCUUCACAGACAAUAUUUGACA
rnacentral:misc_RNA from 1 species